rnacentral:rRNA from 1 species
CCUACGGGUGGCAGCAGUGAGGAAUAUUGGUCAAUGGGCGGAAGCCUGAACCAGCCAAGUAGCGUGCAGGAUGAAGGCCCUACGGGUUGUAAACUGCUUUUAUACGGGAAUAACGCGCCUUACGCGUAGGCCUUUGCAUGUACCUUAUGAAUAAGCACCGGCUAAUUCCGUGCCAGCAGCCGCGGUAAUACGGAAGGUCCGGGCGUUAUCCGGAUUUAUUGGGUUUAAAGGGUGCGCAGGCGGCAGGUCAAGGGUGCGGUGAAAUGUCCGGGCUCAACCCGGGCCUUGCAGCGCGAACUGGCAGUCUUGAGUCGGCGGAAAGCAGGCGGAAUGCGUCGUGUAGCGGUGAAAUGCUUAGAUAUGGCGAAGAACCCCGAUUGCGAAGGCAGCUUGCUGCAGCGGAACUGACGCUGAUGCUCGAAAGCGCGGGUAUCGAACAGGAUUAGAUACCCGGGUAGUC